rnacentral:rRNA from 1 species
AGUUGUUGCGGUUAAAAAGCUCGUAGUCGGAGGUGUGUCUCGGACGGUCGGUUCGCCGCUUGUCGGUGCUCAACUGGCCGGUCCGGACGUCCUGCCGGUGGGGCUGUAAAAGGCUCCGUUAUCCUUCUUUGGUCCUCUUCAUUGAGUGCCUUGGUGGGCCGGCACGUUUACUUUGAACAAAUUAGAGUGCUCAAAGCAGGCCGUUGGUCGCCUGAAUACUGUGUGCAUGGAAUAAUAGAAUAGGACCUCGGUUCCAUUUUGUUGGUUUUCAGAACUCGAGGUAAUGAUUAAUAGGGACGGACGGGGGCAUUCGUAUUGCGACGUUAGAGGUGAAAUUCUUGGAUCGUCGCAAGACGAACCGAUGCGAAAGCAUUUGCCAAGAACGUUUUCGUUGAUCAAGAACGAAAGUUAGAGGUUCGAAGGCGAUCAGAUACCGCCCUAGUUCUAACCAUAAACGAUGCCAGCUAGCCAUCCGCCGAAGUUCCUUAUAUGACUCGGCGGGCAGCUUCCGGGAAACCAAAGCUCUUGGGUUCCGGGGGAAGUAUGGUUGCAAAGCUCAA